UACGGAGGGUGCAAGCGUUAUCCGGAUUCACUGGGUUUAAAGGGUGCGUAGGUGGGCAGGUAAGUCAGUGGUGAAAUCUCCGAGCUUAACUCGAAAACUGCCGUUGAUACUAUUUGUCUUGAAUAUUGUGGAGGUAAGCGGAAUAUGUCAUGUAGCGGUGAAAUGCUUAGAUAUGACAUAGAACACCAAUUGCGAAGGCAGCUUACUACACAACGAUUGACGCUGAGGCACGAAAGCGUGGGGAUCAAACAGG
rnacentral:rRNA from 1 species